rnacentral:misc_RNA from 1 species
CUUUUUUUUUUUUUUAUUUUUUUCAGCAUGCAAAUAUUUUCAUUGAAAUUUUGUUCUUCCAAAAAUAACUUUGGCUCUUGGCCUCAAUCAGCCAAUCCUGCCAGACAAAUUAAAAACAUAUGCGCAAAAUAAAUCAACAAAUGAAAAUUCUUCCAUAGGCAAUACAUGAGAUCAAGAAUCAGCCAAAAUUGAUAUCUUUUGUAGUUUCAAUUAGCCAAUUUAGGGCCUGUUUGGAAUUGUGGUUUCAGCCUUCUUUUUCAAAAAGCAAUAUUGUAGACGCUGCUAGAAAAAACAGUUUGAAAAGGAUGUUUAGCUGCCUUGGAGUUAUUAUGACUAAAAUAUGUCAAUUUAACUUAAAAUCUAUUUUUAAUGACAUCUAAAUAACGUAUUCAAUGUAGUACUUUUUUUAGCAGCAGUUCAAAAAAAAAUGCUAAACAAACCCAACAUGCAGCAUGUCAUGCUAAAAAAUCAGCAGAUUUCUAAAAUUAUCCAAAAUCUUACCAUAUGAAGAUUCAGCAAUUAGCAUGCGUGGAAAGCAUUCUGGUGUCCACCUAGACUUGCACUAGGUUGUACA